AGAGCUUGAUCCUGGCUCAGGACGAACGCUGGCGGCGUGCUUAACACAUGCAAGUCGAACGAUGAAGCCUAGCUUGCUAGGUGGAUUAGUGGCGAACGGGUGAGUAAUACGUGAGUAACCUACCUUUAACUCUGGGAUAAGCCUGGGAAACUGGGUCUAAUACCGGAUACGACCAAUCUCCGCAUGGAGUGUUGGUGGAAAGCGUUAUGUAGUGGUUAUAGAUGGGCUCACGGCCUAUCAGCUUGUUGGUGAGGUAACGGCUCACCAAGGCGACGACGGGUAGCCGGCCUGAGAGGGUGACCGGCCACACUGGGACUGAGACACGGCCCAGACUCCUACGGGAGGCAGCAGUGGGGAAUAUUGCACAAUGGGCGCAAGCCUGAUGCAGCGACGCCGCGUGAGGGAUGACGGCCUUCGGGUUGUAAAGCUCUGUUGUAAGGGAAGAACGGUAGAUAGAGAAUAUCUAAAUGACGGUACCUUACCAGAAAGCCACGGCUAACUACGUGCCAGCAGCCGCGGUAAUACGUAGGGCGCGAGCGUUGUCCGGAAUUAUUGGGCGUAAAGAGCUUGUAGGCGGCUUGUCGCGUCUGCUGUGAAAGGCCGGGGCUUAACCCCGUGUAUUGCAGUGGGUACGGGCAGACUAGAGUGCAGUAGGGGAGACUGGAAUUCCUGGUGUAGCGGUGGAAUGCGCAGAUAUCAGGAGGAACACCGAUGGCGAAGGCAGGUCUCUGGGCUGUAACUGACGCUGAGAAGCGAAAGCAUGGGGAGCGAACAAGAUUAGAUACCCUGGUAGUCCAUGCCGUAAAC
rnacentral:rRNA from 1 species